rnacentral:rRNA from 1 species
GCAUACUACGAUUAUGAGAUAUGGCAGAUGGACGUCAAAACGGCAUUCCUUAACGGUUUCCUUAAGGAAGAGUUGUAUAUGAUGCAGCCGGAAGGUUUUGUCGAUCCUAAGAAUGCUAACAAAGUAUGCAAGCUCCAGCGCUCAAUCUAUGGGCUGGUGCAAGCAUCUCGGAGUUGGAACAUUCGCUUUGAUGAGAUGAUCAAAGCGUUUGGGUUUACACAGACUUAUGGAGAAGCCUGUGUUUACAAGAAAGUGAGUGGGAGCUCUGUAGCAUUUCUCUUAUUAUAUGUGGAUGACAUAUUAUUGAUGGGAAAUGAUAUAGAAUUCUUGGAAAGUAUAAAGGCCUAUUUGAAUAAGUGUUUUUCAAUGAAGGACCUUGGAGAAGCUGCUUAUAUAUUAGGCAUCAAGAUCUAUAGAGAUAGA